GAGAUUGAAUACUUCAUCUUUUCAGCAUUUUUAACUUAGCUCAGCUUUGCCUUUCCAGGAAACCUGGCCUCAAUACCUGAAUAGCUCUCCAUCAUAAACCUAUCAUUUUCCCACAAACGUGCACUUUGCAGCUCCUUCUGCCUUCCACUGACUCCUUCCAGCAAACUGAAAACUUGACACAACUGUGCUUGUAUGGAGAUGCAGUCCUGGUGCCACAGGGAGAGGAAUGGGAACAACGAUGACCAGCACAACCACACCUGCAUCCAACUGGAAGGAUCUGGGUGCAAGUGGGGUUUACGGCAGCUACGCGAGGCAUUUCCAUGGCACGCAGGAGCUGAGUAUUUUGCUGAAAAUGGAUGUGGAAAAUCUCCCCUGAAAUGCAGUGUGUGAACACGAGGUGGCACUUGGGUCUCGUGGAUGGAGGAACAGACAGCCCAGAACCACUUCCUGCGCAAAAGGAGAGAAUUUUAUUGAUGAGCUGAAAAAAAAUGCUGUUGGCAUAAUGUAUGGACUCUACUUGUUUUUUUAAUGCACGCUCUUUCUACUUAGGAUAGGAGUGCUGCUUGGCUGAAUGCACGAAUGUUAGUUAAUGUUGUGCAGUUCCUAUAGUGAAAGAAUGUAUUGGAACUUCAGGAUAUAUGUGCUGCAGUCGGUGUCACCCCUUAUGCACUGGGAAGGUAUUCUAGAUGUAAUUAACUCGAGUCCGCUCUUUUGGGUUUCCAUCUGCAGUCAUCAGCUGUGUGCAGAUUUGGUGUGGGUUUUCCUUUCUGGUUCGAUCCAAAUUCUGAUUUUUUUGAUCAGGUUCAGCACAAUUAUUUUGCAGCAAUGGGAGCCCUCAGUGGGCUUUUUGCUAGAGCCCCUCCAGGAAGGGGCUUUGCCAGACACACAUUGGCCUCCUGCUGGAGCCGAAGGACUUAACACAAAGCUGCAGAGUUUGUGUGAGAUGCACAUAAAACAUGCUUGAAAGAAGAAAUUCAGCCACAGAACAAUGUUUAAAAGGUGCAUUCAAAAUCUCUCUGUUUCAGAAGAACAUGGCAGAAGCUGUGUCUUGUGCUAUGCGAAGGAUGUUUAGUAAGUUAACUUGAAAAGUCCACAGCAGCCUGCAAAACCUAGGACAGAAAUGCCGAACAUUUACCUCCACCCAAUUUAAAUAAAUCAAGCUUUCAGUUACAAAAUAAUAAACUCAGUCUCAAAGAUUUUAUUCCAGAAGAGGAGAAGGAAUUUCACAUUAGCACUGAGCUCUGAUGGGACACGCUCAUCCAUUACAAUAAAAGCACGUAGAUUUAUGAUAAAUGUAAGCUCAAAAAUGGAAAUGCCAGAAUCAAAAAUUGCUGUGAGACUGCUGCUCCCUGAAUAUGAUCUGAUUGUGCUGUAAACUUGAUUGUGCUGUAACUUUCAAACAAUUAUGAAAACAUUUACAUGCUUUUAUUAGCACUUGUAAAUUAUGCGGGGCUUUUUAAUGUGCAGUCAUAAGCAAGAGGAAAGCCUAAACACACAGUAGAAAUCUUCUGAAGGAAGAAAUUGCAAUGGUCUUUCACUUAAUUAAUGUCACAUUUAGUAGCACAGUAUUUUCAGCAAAGAUUUAGCAUGGAAGGAGAUGAAAAUUGCACACAGAAUCUCAUAGAAUUGUAGAGGUUAGAAGGGACCCCUGCGGAUCACUGAAUGGCUGGGACAGAACUGCAGCAAAAGCAUUAUUGGUCAAAGAAGAAAACAGUUUGGGAAAAGGCAGUGGGGUCGUGUAUGGAGGUUCUGAGUCUUGGUGUCUUUGCUGGUGUUUGCUUCCUUUUGUGGCUCAAAAAUCUCAGCCUUGGCUAAUUUGGUGACAAUCACUACUAACUCCCAUAAGGACAGGAUUUGAUGCUAAACUCUGAAGUGGCUUCAUUUUUGGGUAGUGCAUUUUAUUAAUUCAAAUGACAAUUUUGCCUGGGUUUUGCACCUAGCCCCAAACUUAGGGGGUGUCGUGGAAGAGCUUGACAUAUCUUAAAACUGGUGGAAGUGGGCUGUGUUAUGUAUGAAGUUAUUUGACUGGCCUCUGCAGAGAGCAGGAUCUUCUCUGCCCAAGAAGUCAGCACACACAAACCUGCACAUGCAAUUGCUGUAAAGGAGAAAAUCCUUAGUGAAAGGAUAAGCUACUUUGGAAAUAGCUGAGUCCAAGCAAAGACUGCAAAAGAAAGGUGAAGACGUUUAAAUCACAGGCGUAGGCUUCUCCUUUCUAAUGCAGAAUAGCAACUGAACGCAUUUAAAUAAAAAAUGAUUUGCUGUGAAUGGCUUUCGUUUUCUGCUGGGUGGUGCUGGAGGUGGGCAGGUGAGAUGGGAAGUAGGGACCAUGGGUCAGAGCUCCUGUCUAAAGGUUAGGCGGUCUCUGGGUCCACAGAGUGGCUGCGGGCAGCUAUCAGGUGCUCAGACAAGCAGAAUAAAGACUGUAAGCAAGUAAAAAGAGAAAAAAGUCACCAAGUAUUUAUCAUGCAUAAGGCCACCUUCAACCUGUCAAGAGAAAUAAUUGCAAAAUGAUCCAGUAGCACCCGACUUGCUGAGAUCUGCAUCAGCUCUAACUGGGAAGUAAAUAAUACAUUGAGUUUAAUGGUCUCAGUUACUUGAAUUCAAAUGUUAAUUUAAUGAAAUAACUUAGCUGUCAUAAAUGCCAAAACAUGCCAUUAUCGUACAAUCAUACCUAAGUAACAGCUGAGCAUGCUUUACCCACAUGACUAAUCUGUUUCCCCAUGAUCAGUUACCUGGAGCUGUGAUGCUGUUGAUUUCUGAGGUGCUAUAGGGACACUCAGCUCAGCACUGAGCUCUGUCUGCAAUAACCGUACAAUUUCUCCUCUGUUUGCAGAAGCAGAUCCUCAGAAGGCAAGGUCUACUCUUGGAAAAUGUUUUGUGCUGGCUUUGAUGCAAUGUUCUGUUUUCUCUUUUCAUUUUUCUUAGAAAUAUUAAAAAAACUGACCAAAUUAUAGCCUAUGGCAUGCGGUAACAUUUGCAAUGAGAGACUCCAAAGUUCCUUAGACGCAUCCUUUGUGAUGGUUUUAAUAGUCAUUAACAUUAGGUUCGGUUAUCUGUAAGAAGGACCCCUCUUGGUGCUAGUUAGCAGAAAGCUCUGAGCUUCCUGAUGGCCAAGCAGAACUUCCCCUGAAUGGCUCGAGAAUGGGUGCCUCAGCAGGAAGGCAAAGAGUUUGCAGAAGUUCCCAUUUUUUC
rnacentral:lncRNA from 1 species